rnacentral:rRNA from 1 species
GGCUGGACUAUUUAUUACCCUUGUCUUUUGCGCACUUGUUGUUUCCUGGGCGGGUUCGCUCGCCACCAGGACCACAAUAUAAACCUUUUUUAUGCAGUUGCAAUCAGCGUCAGUAUAACAAAUGUAAAUCAUUUACAACUUUCAACAACGGAUCUCUUGGUUCUGGCAUCGAUGAAGAACGCAGCGAAAUGCGAUACGUAGUGUGAAUUGCAGAAUUCAGUGAAUCAUCGAAUCUUUGAACGCACAUUGCGCCCUUUGGUAUUCCAAAGGGCAUGCCUGUUCGAGCGUCAUUUGUACCCUCAAGCUUUGCUUGGUGUUGGGCGUUUUUGUCCCCCCCAAAAAGGGGACUCGCCUUAAAAGGAUUGGCAGCCGGCCUACUGGUUUCGCAGCGCAGCACAUUUUUGCGCUUGCAAUCAGCAAAAGAGGACGGCAAUCCAUCAAGACUCCUUCUCACGUUUGACCUCGGAUCAGGUAGGGAUACCCGCUGAACUUAAGCAUAUCAAUA